ACGCGUUGUACAUUUCAUCACCUGGUUGGUGGCAUGAAGGAAAGUACGCGUUGUUCAUUUCAUCACCUGGUUGGUGGCAUGAAGAUGAGUUCCUUCUUCACCUGAUUAGUGAUAAGGGUGGCAAGUUUCCAAAUAAUAUUAGAGUAUGGGUUGUACAUUUCAUCACCUAGUUGGUGGUACGAAGGUGAGUUCCUUCAUCACCUAGUUGGUGAAAAUAAGGGUAAGGUGUCGAGGCACAUUGUGGCAAAUGUCGAAUGACACAAAGUGUGUUGAACCCUUUCAAAGCACAGUUGGCUUAUGUAUGGAUGUGUUGGAAUGUAUGAUGUUUAUGCAUGAAUGUGUUGGAAUGUAUGAUGUUUAUGUAUGAAUGUGUUGGAAUGUAUGAUGUUUAUGUAUGAAUGUGUUGGAAUGUAUGAUGUAGAUCCUUUGUAUAGUCUUGUUGACACAUACUUAGAUUUUGUUUUGUAUUGGAAACAUUUGCGUUGAAGUUUCAACACUUGAGUGUUUCAUUGC
rnacentral:lncRNA from 1 species